rnacentral:lncRNA from 1 species
GUUGUUCCAAUUCUAAUACUCCCCCACCCCGACUCUCCCUCCAUCUUUCUUCUCUCCUACAAAUCCCUAGACCUUUCACCUUUUCAACGACGAUUCCCCUCUUCUCGGUCGAAUAUCGCUUCUCGUCUGGGCUGACUGGUAAAAAACUUUCCAAAUCCCUAAUUUCUCCGUUGACUCCGUAUAUAGCUGUUCAUUUUUAUGUUCGAUUUUUUCUUUCUGUAAUGCCCGCUUUGUUUUUCCUUUCUCUUUAAAUUCCAUAGACCAUUCACCCCUUCAACGACGAUUUCCCCUCUUUUCGAUCGAAUAUUGCUUCUCGUCUGGGCUGACUGGUAAAAAUCUUUCCAAAUCCCUAAUGUCUUCGUUGAUUACGUAUAUGGCUAUUCAUUUUUCUGUUUGAUUUUUUCUUUCUCUAAUGUUCGCUUUGUUUUUCCUUUCGCUUUAAAUUCUGUGUUGCUUCUGUUGCUAUCUGUAGGCCAUUCAACUUGGGCAUUCCAAUUGUUGCUCUUAUUUUCUACGAGUGAAGUCGUCUGCUGUUCAUUGCAGUUAAGGUAAGUUCGUUUUCUAUUUCUUGCAUUAUUCGGUAUGUUAGAUGUUUUCUGGGUCUUAAAUCUAAUUGUUUAUGUGGUCUGACAUAUAUUUUAAAUAUGUAAUUUUUACAUACGUAAUAAAAUUAAAAUUAAUGCUUAAAAUAGGGAAAUGCUUUUGAUGAAAUAAAAUAAUUUAUGAUUGAAUACCUUCAAUCCUGUUUCAUA